GUCUGGCAGUUAUAGGGAGCUGUGUCUAGGCAGAGGGUACUCAGGAACCACCCUGGCACCCUUAACCCCAAAGCAGCUAGCAUCCCAUGUCCAGGCCUGGGUACCAGAGACACAGGACAUCUUUACAACUACCAGGGUGAUCCAAAAUGGAGAAAGACAGGCCCCCACAGUUGAUGACCCCUGCUUCAGUGAAAGCCAUCAUCUCAAAGAUUGAGGCUGCCCAGCUAACACGGGCUCAGGAGGAUAUUUCCUCCCAGCUCUCCGACAUCUUGGACAAUGUCAACUGUGUCAUCAACCGCUUCCAGGAAGAACUAGGAUAUGAUUUAAAAGAAAAGGCAAAAUCUGACCGGACAGAGCGAAAGGGCAAGAACAGAUUCAUCUUGCUGGAGAAAAUUGCCUCCUUCUCCGAAGACGCUAAGACCAAAGAGAAGCACUUGUACGAAAUUCUUCGCUGGCUGGGUGACUGGGGUGACAGUCUCACCUAUGAGCUCAGGAACAGGAAGGGUAAGGAGGAAGAGAAAGCUCUGGAUGAAUGGAUUGAGGUGAUGGAGAAGGUGUUACCUCUGUCCCUCAUUGCCACCAAAGGAGGCAUCGAGUCUCUCAUUUCCCUCUGCUCUACUCUCAUUGAAAGACAAAAGAAAGGGACACAAAUACCCAAACACACCUUCUGGCAGGGCUGGUGGGAACAAAGCCCCCCGAGAUCUGCAUCCUACCCUCAGCCACUGAGCCCAGAGCAGAUGCUCCAGGACAAGCAUACUACAUGCAUGAAGGUCUCUGAGGUGAUGUCCAUGCUGCAGGAGCUCCUGGACUCCACCAUGUUCAACCAGGGAGAGAUCAGAGCCAUCAGGUACAUGUCUGCUGUGGUGGAGAACCUCAACAAGGCCUUGACCCUCCAGCACAAAGAGAACAGUAACCUAGAGACCAAAUACAGGAACCUGGAAAUAGAGAUGACCAAAGAACUCAGCAGCCAGAGGCUCUACUUCCAGAAUUCCCUCCAAGUUCUACAGAGCAAGAGGGAUGCCCUACUAAAGCAGGUGGAAAUUCUAGGGGGAAAAUACCAUGACCUUCUCCUGAUAAAGCAUACCUUAGAAUUCCAGCUGAAGAAGGCUCAGUCUGCUAGAGAUCAAGCAGAAGAACCAGCCAAGAUCUUGAUCGACUUCCUGGGCCCCACUGAGAAAGAGACCCUCUCAAAGAAAGAAAGAGUCAUGGAGAAAACCCAGCAGGAGAGGUUGCUUUUGUCACUGCCCCCAGGUUUCAUGACCGAAGCCUGGGACAGUGAUACUAGGCCUUCAACGUCUCAGGCACUUUCCACCAUGACCACACAUGCAAGGAUUGCCGAUGUGUACAGCAGCAAGGACACUGAGUGUCUCCAGCCCAUGUUGCUAUCCAUAGUAGACAACAAGUUUCCUAAGAAAUGGGAAGGACUAGCAGCCGAGAGCCCAGGCCACCAAGUCAAAGACCAGAAGGAUUUCCAGAAAGCAGCCCAAGAGAAGGAAGGACUCCAAAUUAAGUCCCAUGUUAGGAUGCAGCUGUCCCCAGAGAGCUCUAAGAAGGUGGCCUUGGAGAGCAAGAUGGAACACCGGGAAGAAGAACUCAGCUGGGAGAGGCAGAGGCAGCAGUGGCUGGAGGAGGAGGCGAUGUGGCUGCAGCGGCAGAAGAAAUGGGCCCUGCUGGAGCAGGAGCAUCAGGAGAAACUGCAGCAGUGGGAGAUGGAGGAGGCGGCGAGGGAGCAGCAGCGGAGGUUGGGCCAGCAGGAGAAGGAGCAAGGGGGCCCACGGAGAGACCUGGAGCGGUCGGGGGAGGACGUGGACAGGGUGAUCUUCACGACCACCAGGCGGUGGAAAGACCUGGAGAAGACAUCCCUGGCACCUCCCCCAAGCCGGGCCCAGUCUGCUCACCAAGGCAGGAGGCCACGCCAGCCCAGGUCCCCUAAUACUCCACAGCCUUCCCCCAGACACCAGAGGAACCUGCGUUCCGCCAAGUCUACCCAGAAACCAUGGGCCUCCCAGGUUCCCAUGAAGCCCAAGAAAUCGGCCUCCUUCCCUGUCACAGGGACAUCCAUCCAAAAGGUGUCCCGGCCUCCGUUGCAUAUCUCCCCGGCAGCUCUUAAGGGCAAAGUAUACCACAUGGAUGCAGAGGCCCAGAGGAAGAACCUGCAGCUCCUGAGCAAGGAGGCUGAGCCGGGGCUGCCGCACUCACUGCGCAGCAAGGCGUUGGAGCUCACCACCACCACCAUGGAGCUCAGCACACUCCGGCUGCAGUGCCUGUGCCACAGGUACAUCCUCUACAGGCGCUUCCAGAGCCUCCGACAGGAAGUGACUGACCACAUACAAGUCCUGCGGGAAACUGGGACUGCCUACAAGGCCCAGAACCUCUACAUCUUCCUGAAUAACAUCGACCACCUGCAGAACCUCUGGCUGCAGGCCUGGGCAGACAAGCAGAAGGACCUGGAGGAGAAGCGCCGAGAGUGUCUGAGCAGCAUGGCGACCAUGUUCCCCAAGCUCCAGCUGGAGUGGAACAUCCAUUUGCACACUCCCAUGAUCACCAACCCAAAGUCCAGGAAAAACAAGCCACCCCCAUCCUUUCUCCGGCGCAUCCACUCCUGCGGCCCCUUCAGCAGGCAGUCCCCAGAGCACUUCACACCCAAGCACUGGGAAUGUGCUCCCCUGCGCUGGGCCCGCCAGCAGGAGAACCAGAUGGAAGCCAUCUGGAGAACUGAUGUGGCCUCCUCCAGUCACCCAGUAGAAAAGAGGACUCCCCCCCAGCCUGCCCUGGGACCAGCUUGGAGGGUGCCCUGACAUUCCCCGGCUGUUGGCCUUGGAUGUGCCUUCCUCCUAUCGGAGAAGCUUACAGUCCCUCAAGACCUGUGCCUUGGUGGCUGACAGAAAGGAACACCAGGAAGCCCCAGAUGAGUCAGCUGAGCUUGCUUGUAAGAAGUCCAAUGAGUCCUUUCCUGGAACUCUAAAAAGCCAGAAGGAUAGAGAUGAUCUCAGUCCCCACUCCAUCCCUUAGUCAGUGAUUCUCAAACUUCAGGGUGACUAAACAUCACAUGGAAACUUGUUUCAAAGGCAGGUUCCAGCUGGUGUUUUUACACAAACAUCCUGGGUAUCGCUAAGUAGUCCUAGAACUUUGAGAAACACUACUUUCCUCCUUCAGUCACCAAACUGUACAUUUUUAAAUAAAAUAGC